rnacentral:rRNA from 1 species
AUUGAACGCUGGCGGCAUGCCUUACACAUGCAAGUCGAACGGCAGCACGGGGCAACCUGGUGGCGAGUGGCGAACGGGUGAGUAAUGCAUCGGAACGUACCUUUCAGUGGGGGAUAACGUAGCGAAAGUUACGCUAAUACCGCAUACUCUGUGAGCAGGAAAGUAGGGGAGCGCAAGACCUUGCGCUGAUUGAGCGGCCGAUGUCAGAUUAGCUAGUUGGUGAGGUAAAGGCUCACCAAGGCGACGAUCUGUAGCGGGUCUGAGAGGAUGAUCCGCCACACUGGAACUGAGACACGGUCCAGACUCCUACGGGAGGCAGCAGUGGGGAAUUUUGGACAAUGGGGGCAACCCUGAUCCAGCCAUGCCGCGUGAGUGAAGAAGGCCUUCGGGUUGUAAAGCUCUUUCGGCCGGGAAGAAAUCGCACGGGCUAAUACCCUGUGUGGAUAACGGUACCGGAAUAAGAAGCACCGGCUAACUACGUGCCAGCAGCCGCGGUAAGAC